AGAUGUAAAAAUUUUUAAAUUAUCAGAAGAAUAUUUUCAAAGAAAAGAAGUAAUAUAAAGAAGGAUAAAAAAAUGUUUGAAUCAUAAAGAGAAUAAUUUAAUCAAAAGAAGUUUUUAAAAAAAGAAAAUGUAAAAACUUUUUCCAGAAGAAUAAUUUCAAAGAAACAAUUUGCUAAGAAGAAUUUGAACCAAAUUAAAAUUAAUCUAAAAGAACAAACAAAACGAAUUUGUAAAGAAAAAGAGAAGUACAGCAUUGUAAAAGUAAAAAUAAUUUGCUAAGGAAAACUCGAAUCAAAUCUAUAAUUAAAAUUAAUAUAAAUACUACUUCUAAGAUAAUUUUAUAUUGCCAAAGUUAUAAGUAUACCCUUACAUAAUGUUAAUACUAAGAUGGACUUAAACGAAAUAACGACUUUAACUGUCACCGGACUGAGAGAAAAGUUGAGGGAAUUGGGUAUUUCGGCUACAGGUCAAAAACGUGAUCUUCAGGAAAGACUUAUCCAACACUACGACUUAUCGGGAAAUAGGGCUAGUGACGAAGAGUUCAACCAGUCAGUUUACGAAGACGUAGGUGGAACCACCAACUUACGGUCCUCACCGUUUAUCGUGCAACAACAACAGUUUACUCUAAAAGAUUUAGGAGAUUGUGUUAACGUGUUUUCAGGAAAAGGGUCUGUAGAUAUUCGAGGGAGGGUAAGCGAAUUUGAAAAUAAUGCAGAAAUAGUAAAAUGGAAUGAUCUUCAGAGAUUUGUUUAUGGCAAACAGCUUCUUCGUGGUGCCGCUAAGCUUUUUGUUAGGAGUCAGAAUAAUUUAAAUAGUUGGGCCUAUUCUGUAUCUCGAUUCGAAAAUGAAUUUGCUCGAAUUCGAAUUUUUUGUAUUCGGUAACUCUAUUUUCGGAUUUUCAAUCUGUAUUUCGAAAAGUGAAUCCGAAUUAAGAAAAUUUGCAACUAUGUAAUUCGAAUUUGAUUGUCAAAUGUAUUCGAGUUUCGUAUAAAAUAUUCGUUAGCUUAUGAGUUGUAGGAUAAAGACGUUUUAAAAAAUGUAAGUAUUUUAAUAAGUUUUAUUGCAUAUUAUACUAUAGAUAAGUUUAAAAAAAAUAUAAUUUUUAAUAGGGACUCGGUUUGCAAAAGUCAGCACACUAAACAAAGCCAAUUUGAAAUAAUGGUGGAGUGUGUGGAAGCACAUCCAAACUUGGCCAAAGACUACGUAAAAUGUGCCGACGCUAAACAAACAAGUAAACAUUUGUGGGAGCGGUUGAGUGAAAAAUUAAAUGGAGAUGGACCACCCAUACGGGACAUGCUUUCGUGGAAAAAGGUUUGGGCAGAUUACAAAACCAACAUUAAGGCCAAAGCUCGAAAAAAUAAGUUGCAUAUGUCGGGGACAGGUGGUGGGCCUGCAAAAGUUUAUUCAUUCAAUGCAGUUGAAUUAGGAGCAUUUGAUUUACUGCAGAUAAACCAAGCGGUAGAUGGGAUGGUAGAUGCUCAAAAGUUCGGUGCGGGAACAAGUGAAGUCACACAAAGCUACCAUUGUGAAACCACGGAUCCAAGCACUCAUAAUAACAUAAGUGAUUUACAAAAUUUAGAGGAACUGCCACCUUUUACACCACCUUAUCGCCCCAAACG